GACUCGGGUCCCGGCCACCCUGAGGUUUCGGUGGUGCCUUUUCUCCGAGUGCCUUUUCAAUCCCCAGUCACUGAUUUAUAAGUAUUGCUGUGCCUUUUUGUAUUUACUGUGCAUCCCCCAAAUUCGGUACCAUCUUCUUCGCCGGGAAAGAGACAACCACUUGUAGUUACAGGUUUUCCAAACAGGCCCAUAUCCUCUUCAGAGCCCUUCAUAACCUCUGUUUCUUAGUUUCUUCAAAUACUCCGAAGGGAGAGGGGAGGGCGUUUUCAGAAGAGGCAUCUGACCACAGAACCAUCCUCAGCUCCGCUGGUGUCUGAUGAAACCACCCUUGGCCUUACCUCACCUUAACCAGCCCAGUCCAGCCUCGCCCCCUGCUUCCAGCGUCCUGCCGCGAUCUCCGAGAGAAAAGUGCUGUGGACGAGGAGAAAAUCCACUGUCACUACUAGUCAAGAUUGUCAUUUGCCGCGUGCUUUUUAGCCCUUUAAUGGGAGCUCUUAGCGUAGCUGCUGCCAAGCUCUGAUCCUCCCCAGCUGAGGAGCUGUUCAUAGUCUCACCACAGAAUCCAGCAUCAGGAAUCCUCAGGUAUCCAAGACACAGGGCUGGCAGAUAUGGCAUGGGACAUAAGUUACUACAUCACAUCUAAAAUGCCACCAGACGUCUGUGUUCAGGAAAAUGGAACCAGCGGAAACUGAAAGAGGCAGACCCUCCUGGGGAAGCAGUGGAGAGAUGCGAAGCGAGCCUGUGCUGACUGGGUGGAGAGGUUACACACGCGCCAGGCACGCACAGGUUGUGUGAAACCAGAAGCUGCAGAGACUGUCUGAGGAUUCUUGAUGUGCUGCUGAAGUGGGGUGCUGGUGAUGAAGAUUUAAAACUGCUGACAUCUGAUAAAAGAGCUAGUUCAGAUUCUAUGAUUGUGAAAUGUAGAAAUACCUAAAUCUGAUACCAUGGUAACUUGGAAGAAGAAUUCUUACAACUGAUUAUCCAGAUGUCUACAAAUAUGAAAAACAAGCUGCUUCAGAUACUAUCCUGAUUUCUUUACUUGCCAAAACUCUAUUUAUAUCUUCAGCUCAUCUUUAUUUGACUGCAUAAUUUUCCAAUAUUUACCACAUAUCUUCGCAGAUUCUCUAAAGAUUUUUUUCCCCAAAAUACAAUUAUUUGAGCCCUCAUCUAUACUGCAUUGAGACACAGAGGCACCAAACACCAGAGAGUACUAGAAGCACCACAGGGAAUUCUGAAAUUACCAUCUGUAGUUUUAAUCCAUGAAUUUAGAGCUUGUAAGAGAGUGUCAGAACUAGCUGGGAUAAUUAUAAGAUAAUCCACAUUUCCUUUAACAAGACAAAAAUACCACCCACACUAUAACUAACAACAGCCCAGCCAGCUCUUAAGAAAUUGGUGUUGAGUGUAGCUGUUCUCACAAAUUGACACUUAAUGUUGAAAUGGUUUAUUACAGCAGAGUGUUUGAGAAGUUUACACAGAACUGGGCACAUUUCACACACCUGCUGCCAGUACCCUGGAUCCUUCCAGUGCCUGGGUCAGGCUCGAUCCAGAGCAGAUCUGAUGGUGCCAACACUCGUGCGUCUUGUGGAUGACCAAGGACUGUGCAGUUGUACUCCCAGUGCUAGAUCUCACCUGGAUGCCAGUUACUUAGUCAGGACACACUGUUACACAAUCCUGGAGAAGCAGCAGGAAUUUCUUCAGAGACAGAAUUUCAUCAAUUAUACCUCAUACUCUUCUGUCAGCAGCAAAACCCAGGCCAUUCGUUACAUUGCUUGGAAGAUGGUUCUGCAUUUUUAAACUUGCCUUUUGGUGCGGUUUCUAGGUCGUAUCCAUUAUUUUACUUGACAGUUAAGAGUGUCCAGAAUGUGGGUUUUAGUGCUUAUCCUGUCAUAUCUUCAAAAGACUGGACACUAUACUUAUGCCUGCCCUCUGCCACAGAGAACUUUCUAUCACAUUUCCACUGUUUUAAGCAACAUAACUGUUCCACUUCUAAAAAAGAAAUUGUGCAAACAGACUUUGUGAACAAGUGAGCCACAAGAGCCCAACCAUUGAAAACUUUAGAAAAGAUUCUCCUGGCUACUUUACUGUUAUGGAAUGGCCAUCUGAAAGAAAACAAAAAAACCUCAUGAAAACUGAAAGGAAGAGAAAAGAAUAAGAAAAAUUUGGGUGCUGUAUGAAAACUUGGUACCUCCCCAUUGUGCUUAUAAGAGGAACAGGUCACUACACCACAAGAACAGCACAACAGAACUAGGGAAGGUAAAGAGAAGGGCAGAUGUGGUGAUCAAGAGAGUGCAACAGUGACAUACUAAGAGAGACUAAAGUGGCUGGGGCUCUUCCACCUGCAGGAGAGGAGGCUGAGAAAAUAUGAUCAAGGCUUAUGAAAUCAUAAAGGCAGUGGCUAAGGUGAGUAUGAAGCUGUUAUUUGUCAGCCUGGAACAAAGGUACACACACAGAGGCUGAUCAGGCAUUACAAACAGCCCAAAGACAGGGCCUUUUUUCACAGCAGGUAAUUAAUGUUUGGAACUCCCUACCACAGGCUGUAGCAAAGGCAACUGUCAGCAGGUUCAAAAAGAAACUAGUCAAACUGGGUAACAGGUCUAUACAUGGAUUAAAAAAGAGAAUAGGCAUGGGAUAACCAUCUAACAUCUCCAGUUGAUGCCUGGUCAUAAUUAUGGAUGCUUGGAAGUGUGAGGUGACAGACUGUUGGCUUGCAUGGUGGUCCCUAAAUAAAGCAUCCUCUACUGCCAUGGACAAGGAGAAAGGGGUGGGAUAGGUAGACCUCUGUUCUGGUCCAGCUGGACACUCCAGACAUUCAGGAUUCCUUGGAUAUGAUGGUUUCCAGAAUAUAGACAGAAUUCAGAUUUCAAAUGGGUUCCAAUACCUUGAAAAUACAUCAAAGGGACCUGUAAUCCACAAGGGCAAAAUUAAUCUCUAGGAGCAAGGUAAAAGGUAAAAAGAUAAGAUGAAAAAAUAAUUAAUGCCUUAAAUAAUUAUAUGCUUCUCCAUUGGAGUUGUUAAAUCUAAAAUGGUUAAAAAAAAAAAGACAUAAUUUAUUGUUCUGUUGACAAUCCUCCAUCCUUAUUUCUGGCCAACAAUUUUAAGUUUUUAUGUAGGUUUUCUUGUCUCUUCAGUGUCUUAGAUCUCUAAUGACAAGCAUUUUAAAGCAAUCAAUUAUGUAUGAUGAUUGUCAUCUGACAUUUGUUCUGUCUGGUAAGUAUCCAUUAUAGAAUUAUAAACUCAUUGUCUUCCUCCUGCAUUUUGUGUGUCAUGAAUGGUAUUAAAGUGAUUCUGUCCUAUACAGAUGCCUUUCCCCUUGAACGCAGUGUUUCCUAACUUUAUAAAAAUCUAAAUGCAUUAAGUCCCCCUUUGAUUCUGGACACUGGUCUAGAGACAGAGAGGGUGUCAAAUUUACAAAGUAUUACAACAAUAAUACUGUGAAUUUUAUGCUGCUUUCUAUUCAUGCUUCGUUAGCUUCUAUCAGCCUGAACCAGAGACAGGUCCCAUGGUACUAGAAACUCUGAAUAUCACAGUGAAAAAGACCAUUUCUCUCUGAAAAAAAACCUGAGCAGCUGUGACAGUCAGGGACUAUCACCCCCAGAAUGCCCUAAAGGGCCUGGAGGGACUAUGGAGUGUUCUUCAAAAUAACUGGCUUGGAGGGAGGGAAGCUCUCUGGAAGCAUGGCAGGAGGCAAAGCAGCACAAGCACAAGGACACUAAACUGCUUCUACUGCCCAGCAACUGGAAGAAAGAUCCAGGUAAUGACACCAGACCACUUUCAAGGCAAUUAGGUCUUGGCUUCUUUCAGAUGAGGCCACUGAGACACAGGAAUCAGUAAGAAACAAGUGUUCCUUAAUUCUAGAGUCUCCAAGACAAGAGGCUACAAAAUUUAGAGUGUUCUUAGCUCCACAUGGCUAUGACCCUUUUGAUGGACCUAAGGAGCACCCUGAAGCAGAGCUUCCUCUAACUACUGGAGAAGUGGCUUAGAGAUUUUGAGACUUGGAUGAGGAUGGUUGAUUUGAGGGAGAGCUGACAGAUGGCACAUCCCUCUAAUGUGAUAGAAGUUUCAAAGGAUGACAUGGUAACAACCUAGCCUCCAUAGCCAAGUGAGCUCUUGCAGAAUGCAGAUCAUGAAGUGAGAUUUUGCAGCAGAAGCAUGAGCAAUGGAGGAAAAAGGGAUGGUCUUGACAGAGGAAUCUGUGUCACUGUGUUGGCUGAUAGACCAGGAGAUACAGAGAUUCCUUUUAAUCAUGUGUCAGUACCUUAUCCAAGAAAUCUCAUUCUAGUCAAACAAUUUGCAAGAAGUAUAGUUGUUGGCAGGGAGCCUCCACUUGUGCUGGCUGUGUACAUACCAAAUGUGGUUUCUAUAGCCAGAGAGUCAGCUCAGAGACUCAAGCAGUGAUUGAAGACUUGGAUUUUAAAUAGUCAGACCUACCAAAUUCUACUUCAAAGUCUAGUAUAAAAAGGAAAUUCAUGUUAGAGGCAACACACCAUCCUAGUAGGGAGAGACUUCCAAAGAGCUCCAAAAUGUUUAACACUUAGGAGCAUCACCCUGUUUGAACAGAGGUCACUUGGAUGCCAAGCAGCAAUUAUUUACGUGCUGUGUACCCUAAGGAAAGGUACAUGCAGAGGUCUACUGGUCUGUGUUCUAAAGCUUGCAACCCAACCCUCAGCAAUGAGCAAAAGUGGAAGUGUGACCUCAAGAUGUGAAAUGACACAUUAACCAAGAGCAGCAGGAGUGAAACCCAGCACCAGUGGGAUUUGUUACUCCAUCAGUUACAUCAUCAGUGAACGUUUUGUAUAUCAGCUGAUAACAAGGACAGUUAAUGCCAGAAGAUCUUCCAAAGGACUGGGGUAAAGGGUGGCUCACAGCUAAAUUAUAUGUGGAGUAUUUUAAAAUAAGUGAACAUUCAAAUAUUUGAAUUAAAUAACAUUAUUUAAUAUGAUUAUUUGUUUAGACCAGUGGAAGGUUUACUGGUUUUUAAAGCAUUGUUGGUUUUUGUAUCUAUCUCAUUGUUUGUUUUGAGAUACAAAUGUGUUUAGUGUUUGGUUCUUGUAAACAUGGAUGUUGGAGAUGGCUUUCUUGUGAUACAGGCUUACUUAAAGCAACAUACUUCUUGUAUUUUUUCAUAAUUUACUUUUAAACCCACUAUUUAGUGAAGUAUAAACUAAUAAAACCUUACUAGAGUUA